rnacentral:rRNA from 1 species
AGCAUUUAUGUUAGGACCCGAAAGAUGGUGAACUAUGCCUGAGUAGGGCAAAGUCAGAGGAAACUCUGAUGGAGGCUCGAAGGGGUUCUGACGUGCAAAUCGAUCUUCAAACUUGGGUAUAGGGGCGAAAGACUAAUCGAACCAUCAAGUAGCUGGUUCCCUCCGAAGUUUCCCUCAGGAUAGCUGGAACUUAUGAAGAAGUAGUUUUAUCAGGUAAAGCGAAUGAUUAGAGGCUUUGGGGAAGAAACUUCCUCGACCUAUUCUCAAACUUUAAAUAGGUAAGAUUUGAAGGAUACUUAAGUGAUCUUUCAAUACAUUGAAUAUCAAGUUCUUAGUGGGUCCAUUUUUGGUUAAGCAGAACUGGCGAUGUGGGAUGAACCGAACGUUAAGUUAAAGUGCCAAAUAGUACGCUCAUGAGAUACCAUAAAAGGUGUUGGUUCAUUUUGACAGCAGGACGGUGGCCAU